rnacentral:rRNA from 1 species
UGCAGUCGAACGAGAUCUUCGGGUCUAGUGGCGCACGGGUGCGUAACGCGUGGGAAUCUGCCCUUUGGUUCGGAAUAACAGUUGGAAACGACUGCUAAUACCGGAUGAUGACGAAAGUCCAAAGAUUUAUCGCCAGAGGAUGAGCCCGCGUAGGAUUAGCUAGUUGGUGUGGUAAAGGCGCACCAAGGCGACGAUCCUUAGCUGGUCUGAGAGGAUGAUCAGCCACACUGGGACUGAGACACGGCCCAGACUCCUACGGGAGGCAGCAGUGGGGAAUAUUGGACAAUGGGCGAAAGCCUGAUCCAGCAAUGCCGCGUGAGUGAUGAAGGCCUUAGGGUUGUAAAGCUCUUUUACCCGGGAUGAUAAUGACAGUACCGGGAGAAUAAGCUCCGGCUAACUCCGUGCCAGCAGCCGCGGUAAUACGGAGGGAGCUAGCGUUGUUCGGAAUUACUGGGCGUAAAGCGCACGUAGGCGGCUUUGUAAGUUAGAGGUGAAAGCCUGGAGCUCAACUCCAGAACUGCCUUUAAGACUGCAUCGCUUGAAUCCAGGAGAGGUGAGUGGAAUUCCGAGUGUAGAGG